rnacentral:rRNA from 1 species
UACAGAGGUCCCAAGCGUUGUUCGGAUUCAUUGGGCGUAAAGGGUGCGUAGGCGGCGCGGUAAGUCGGGUGUGAAAUCUCGGAGCUUAACUCCGAAACUGCAUUCGAUACUGCCGUGCUCGAGGACUGGAGAGGAGACUGGAAUUUACGGUGUAGCGGUGAAAUGCGUAGAUAUCGUAAGGAAGACCAGUGGCGAAGGCGGGUCUCUGGACAGUUCCUGACGCUGAGGCACGAAGGCUAGGGGAGCAAACGGG